rnacentral:rRNA from 1 species
AUGAACGCUAGCUACAGGCUUAACACAUGCAAGUCGAGGGGCAGCAUGAACUUAGCUUGCUAAGUUUGAUGGCGACCGGCGCACGGGUGAGUAACACGUAUCCAACCUGCCGAUGACUCGGGGAUAGCCUUUCGAAAGAAAGAUUAAUACCCGAUGGCAUAAUUCUUCCGCAUGGUAGAAUUAUUAAAGAAUUUCGGUCAUCGAUGGGGAUGCGUUCCAUUAGGUUGUUGGCGGGGUAACGGCCCACCAAGCCUUCGAUGGAUAGGGGUUCUGAGAGGAAGGUCCCCCACAUUGGAACUGAGACACGGUCCAAACUCCUACGGGAGGCAGCAGUGAGGAAUAUUGGUCAAUGGACGAGAGUCUGAACCAGCCAAGUAGCGUGAAGGAUGACUGCCCUAUGGGUUGUAAACUUCUUUUAUACGGGAAUAAAGUGAGGCACGUGUGCCUUUUUGUAUGUACCGUAUGAAUAAGGAUCGGCUAACUCCGUGCCAGCAGCCGCGGUAAUACGGAGGAUCCGAGCGUUAUCCGGAUUUAUUGGGUUUAAAGGGAGCGUAGGCGGACGCUUAAGUCAGUUGUGAAAGUUUGCGGCUCAACCGUAAAAUUGCAGUUGAUACUGGGUGUCUUGAGUACAGUAGAGGCAGGCGGAAUUCGUGGUGUAGCGGUGAAAUGCUUAGAUAUCACGAAGAACUCCGAUUGCGAAGGCAGCCUGCUGGACUGUAACUGACGCUGAUGCUCGAAAGUGUGGGUAUCAAACAGGAUUAGAUACCCUGGUAGUCCACACAGUAAACGAUGAAUACUCGCUGUUUGCGAUAUACAGUAAGCGGCCAAGCGAAAGCGUUAAGUAUUCCACCUGGGGAGUACGCCGGCAACGGUGAAACUCAAAGGAAUUGACGGGGGCCCGCACAAGCAGUGGAGUAUGUGGUUUAAUUCGAAGCAACGCGAAGAACCUUACCAAGGCUUGACAUAUACAGGAAUAUAUAAGAGAUUAUAUAGCUCUUCGGAGUCUGUAUACAGGUGGUGCAUGGUUGUCGUCAGCUCGUGCCGUGAGGUGUCGGCUUAAGUGCCAUAACGAGCGCAACCCUUGUUGUCAGUUACUAACAGGUUCCGCUGAGGACUCUGACAAGACUGCCAUCGUAAGAUGUGAGGAAGGUGGGGAUGACGUCAAAUCAGCACGGCCCUUACGUCCGGGGCUACACACGUGUUACAAUGGGGGGUACAGAAGGCAGCUACACGGCGACGUGAUGCUAAUCCCGAAAGCCUCUCUCAGUUCGGAUUGGAGUCUGCAACCCGACUCCAUGAAGCUGGAUUCGCUAGUAAUCGCGCAUCAGCCACGGCGCGGUGAAUACGUUCCCGGGCCUUGUACACACCGCCCGUCAAGCCAUGAAAGCCGGGGGUACCUGAAGUGCGUAACCGCAAGGAGCGCCCUAGGGUAAAACUGGUGAUUGGGGCU